rnacentral:rRNA from 1 species
UACGGAGGGUGCAAGCGUUAAUCGGAAUUACUGGGCGUAAAGCGCACGCUGGCGGUCUGUUAAGUCAGAUGUGAAAUCCCCGAGCUCAACCUGGGAACUGCAUCUGAAACUGGCUAGCUUGAGUCUCGUAGAGGGGGGUAGAAUUCCAGGUGUAGCGGUGAAAUGCGUAGAGAUCUGGAGGAAUACCGGUGGCGAAGGCGGCCCCCUGGGCGAAUACUGACGCUCAGGUGCUAAAGCGUGGGGAGCAAACAGG